ensembl:snRNA U6 U6 spliceosomal RNA
GUGCUCGCUUCGGGAGCACAUGUACUAAAAUUGGAAUGAUACAGAAGAUUAGCAUGACCCCUGUGCAAGAAUGACAUGCAAAUUCGUGAAGCGUUUCAUGUUUUU